GAAGAAUUAUCUACACAGAUGCAACAACUGGUUGCCCAAAUGAAUAAUUUUUUCACUCAUCAACAGACUGCUCCUCCGGUGACGUCAUCCACAGCUGAGAAUUUGCCUGUCAAUACUCCAGCUGAUGACCCAGGUCAGGCUGUUUCCUCCCCGUUACGGCUGGCUCUUCCGGAGAGAUUUUCCGGAGACUCUUCGAAUUGCAGAGCCUUUCUGGCUUCCUGAUUGUUUUCACCUGUCAUCACACCUGUCUCCUAUGCUCAUCAGUGUCAGCCCGCCCUGAUUGGUCCCACCUGUGUCUUGUUACCAUGUGCUUAAAUUCCCCUGUCUCCCAGUGUUCCUUGUCAGUUCGUCUGGUCUUUUGCCAUGAUCAGGUCGGGUUAUGUUGUGCUCUUGAAAAGUUUUUGAUCCCUCACUACGUGAGCGCUUUCAUUUUGUUCACUGCAGAACCGAAAAAUAAAGUACUUACAAAUACUUUA